AUUGAACGCUGGCGGCAUGCUUUACACAUGCAAGUCGAACGGCAGCACGGGGGCAACCCUGGUGGCGAGUGGCGAACGGGUGAGUAAUGCAUCGGAACGUACCCAGUCGUGGGGGACAACGUAGCGAAAGUUACGCUAAUACCGCAUACGACCUGAGGGUGAAAGCAGGGGAUCGCAAGACCUUGCGCGAUUGGAGCGGCCGAUGUCAGAUUAGCUAGUUGGUGGGGUAAAGGCUCACCAAGGCGACGAUCUGUAGCGGGUCUGAGAGGAUGAGCCGCCACACUGGGACUGAGACACGGCCCAGACUCCUACGGGAGGCAGCAGUGGGGAAUUUUGGACAAUGGGGGCAACCCUGAUCCAGCCAUGCCGCGUGCGGGAAGAAGGCCUUCGGGUUGUAAACCGCUUUCGGACAGAAAGAAAUCGCAUGGGCUAAUACCCUGUGUGGAUGACGGUACUGUAAGAAGAAGCACCGGCUAACUACGUGCCAGCAGCCGCAGUAAUAC
rnacentral:rRNA from 1 species